CGACUUAAAUACGCGACGG
rnacentral:snRNA from 1 species